rnacentral:rRNA from 1 species
UACGUAGGGUGCAAGCGUUUGUUCGGAAUUACUGGGCGUAAAGGGCGCGUAGGCGGCCCGCUAAGUCGAACGUGAAAUCCCCGAGCUCAACUCGGGAACUGCGUCCGAUACUGGUGGGCUUGAAUCCGGGAGAGGGAUGCGGAAUUCCAGGUGUAGCGGUGAAAUGCGUAGAUAUCUGGAGGAACACCGGUGGCGAAGGCGGCAUCCUGGACCGGCAUUGACGCUGAGGCGCGAAAGCUAGGGGAGCAAACGGG